UCCGAGUUGACCCCGGCAGUCUCCUACGAGUCCCCGGCAUUACCCGCUGGCAACAUAGGACAAGGGUUGCGCUCGUUGCGGGACUUAACCCAACAUCUCACGACACGAGCUGACGACAGCCAUGCAGCACCUGUGUUCCGACCUAUUGCUAGGAGGAUCCCAUCUCUGGAAACCGUCCGGACAUGUCAAGAGCUGGUAAGGUUCUUCGCGUUGCGUCGAAUUAAACCACAUGCUCCACCGCUUGUGCAGGCCCCCGUCAAUUUCUUUGAGUUUUAAUCUUGCGAUCGUACUCCCCAGGCGGAAUGCUUAAUGCGUUAGCUGCGCCACCGAAGAGCAUGCUCCCCAACGGCUGGCAUUCAUCGUUUACGGCGUGGACUAC
rnacentral:misc_RNA from 1 species